CUUAGGGUCCACUGGUCAUGUAUGACUUGGCUUGGAGCUGCCUGAGAAGCUUUUCUUGAAUUUAUCCAGCUGCUGUACACCUGCAUGGCUCCCCC
rnacentral:lncRNA from 1 species